GUUGUGAUGUUGUUGUUCAUUGUUGUUGUAUCUUGUCUCAGCUCUUCUACUGCAGCGGCAUGGUCCUCGUUCCAUUUUUGUUGCUCUUCCAGGAGUCUUCCAUGUUCUGCUUGCGUGUUCUGGAUGUUGAGGAGGGUGUUGUCGGUACGAGUGAAGAAAGCACCGGCCUCUUGAUAGUAGUCAUUCGUGAAAGCGUAGGAGGCGUCGGAGUAUCGUCCUGCAUCAAAUUGGGGCGGAGGUCUGGAUCCUGAAGCUCCAUAUGGAUCAGUGGAGUACCUACCUGUAUGGAAAGGCGGGUUUGUCCACUGGUGAUCUUGGCUCUCCGGCCAUGUCUCCUCUGUUGGCUCUUGUGGUUGCGCAUGACGAGCCCAUGGGUCUCGAAGGACUCGUGGAUUGUAAUCACAAUAAUGCAGGUGCGCUGCUUCUUCUGGUCCAGGGUCAGCUCCAUACCAAGUGCGUUCUCGGUGAGUGGUUAUCCUUUCAGAUGCCACUCGCUGUGGAGUUCUUUGCUUCACUGGUGUUGCUGCAAUUUCAAUCAAAAAGUUUUGCACAGCGUAGAGGCCAAGGUUCGGGUUAGGUAACCGAAUCUUGCCUUUAUCAUCAUAUAGCAUAUACAUUAUAUUUCCCUCUUUCUUUAACAUCCGAGCUUGUCUAAAUGUGUCAUAGCCAUGAUAAAUUCUUAAUUCUUCUAUGAAGUCCAACGAUGAGUUUUCUAGUAAGUGAAGAUUAGUGGCUAGACAAGUGAUAAGUGAAGUACAUCCUACUGGUCCCUGAAGACUAGGUAUACUAAGCCAAUGUGAAACUAAUAGUGUAACAGGUGAGGUGGGUACUUUACUAAUAGCAGCAUAUAAAAGUUGUAAAUCUCCUACUCUUACUUUCCUAAUAUCAUCGCGAUAGAAAAGAUUGUACCCAAGCCAUUUGUGAAACAUCCUAAGAGUGGGGUGUUCCAUGUCACUGGUUCGGGCUUGACUGUAAAGAUUAUCUCUAGAUAUUUCUCUCCAAAACUGGUGUCUCUCAAAAUUGGGUAAAUCGGAGUCAAUGUUCAGGAUGCAUCUUGAAGAGAAACCAAGAUGGUCGCUCAGCUCUCUCCAAGAUAACAUAAUUUCUUGUUUGAACAUCCGAAAAACAAUUCCCCCCUCAUAGUAUUGUAAAGUGCAAAGAAAUUCGAGGGUGAGAAGACGAGAACCCAGCUCAGUUAUAUUCCAAAAAUUUGUCCAACCCAUCAUCUGAAAAAAUUAAGUCAAAUUCAGUGUCCAUACCUGUUUCUCGUAGUAGGAUUGGAUCGAUAGUAGGGGUGUGAAUGAAAUCUUUAUUCUUCAAUUGCUGAUAGACUUCCUUCUCUCUUCGGGUCUUCAGUCCAAGGUCUCCUAUCUUGAGAAGGACCUUAACUUGCUGACCUGAUGAAGAUGAUGGAGCUUGUGUGGGUGUCGGGUCGACGCUCAUCUCUGAUGGCUGUGAGGAGUGUCAGGCGGAACUCCUUGUACCAAUGUUCUUGAUAGCCUUCCCUGCAUUCUUCACCUUCUUAAACAUCCUGCAAACAAAAGUUGGCAAAAACACAACUAGUGGAAAAUGUGAUAUAAAAUGUUAGUGGUCAGCUGUCCGGAGUGUCAGUAGUCCAGGGGUUAAUUGUUCAAGACAAGUUUCUAUUUUGGUAGAGCCUCCCCCUAAACAACUUUUACUUCCGCUUAGACAACAGGUUCACUACUUGCUAGUUGAUAAUCACUUUCUCAAAAGAACUCCAACUUUCUCUUCCACUCUCCUCUUUCUCUCUACUCUCUUCUCUUCACUACAACAACUCCUUCUCGGGAAACUGAAACUUGUAUGGUUUUCUGGAGUGUUUGUGUGAAGAGAAGGGGAGCUGGAGGUGGCCUUUUAUAGGCUGAGCAGGGGACAGGGCGGGCGCCCAAGGUAGGUGGGCGGGCGCCCACCCCUGGUGUCCAUCCUGGGUGUGCCUUCUCCACUUGCUUCCUUGCUUUGAUCUCACGCAGAAUAAUAUUGUGUUGGUAGUGGUUGGACGGUGGAAAGAUGUCAGGUGAGUGGAAACAUAUUGGUGGAUGAAAUAAUAUGAUGGGAUGUAUGUGAGGUGAAGUGUAUGACAUGUGGGACCCAAGGAGUGUGGGUCAUGCUUCUAGAAGAUUAAUAUAAUUAAAUAUAAUGUAGGAAAAUCUAUGAGAAUUGAAACUUAAUUGAAAAUGAUAAUGGAAAAUAUUUUUGUGCCUCCACAAUAAGUAAUAAAUAUGGGUUGUUACACACCACAAAUAUUAUUUAUAUGGGGCUUUUUGAUUGUUAUAAUUAUGCUAUGAAUGUAUAACUAAUGCAAGAAUUAAUUAUGCAAGAAUUUAAAUAUGAGAAAAUUAAUAAGGCGGAUAAAUACCGAUUUACCUCCCGGUGAGGGUUUGAGAUUUUUAGGUCCCCCAAGCUGGACCUCCAAUUCUUUUAAUCUUCUGAAUUACCUUCCUCUGGAGAUGGUGUCUCCAGUGGUUCUUCAUGGACUUCCUUUACUGUAGAGUCUCUCUCUGGUCUGGGUUUGAAUGUGAAAUGUUCUUCUUGACCGUUUAUGUUGAACUUGAUUUCUCCUUUUCCGACAUCAAUGUGGGCAUUGGCAGUGCUCAGAAAUGGUCUUCCAAGGAUGAUGGACACUUUUGAGUCAGGGCUCAUGUCCAGUACUACGAAGUCUACUGGCACCAGGAAAUCUCUGAUCUUGACUGGAAUGUUCUCGGCGAUGCCCAACGGGUGUCGAACCGAUUGAUCCGCUAGUUGUAGGCACAUUGAUGUUGGUUCUAAGGUUGCAUGCUCAAGCUUUUUGUAGACUGAUGCUGGCAUCACACUGACACUUGCUCCGAGAUCACAAAGUGCAUUGUUGAAGUGUUGGUUUCUGAUCGAGCAAUCAAUAGUGGGACAUCCAGGAUCUUCCUUCUUCUUUGGUGGUUUAUUGAGGAUGGCCGCACUACAUUCUUCUGUCAGCUUGAUAACCUCAGUGGUGGGCAGUGGUCUCUUCUUGUUAAGAAUAUCUCUGAUGUACUUUGCAUAUGUAGGUACAUGUAUGGCAUCGAGCAGAGGUAUGUUGACAUAUAAUUUCUGAAUGACCUCUACAAACUUACCAAACUGCUCAUCCGACUGCAGUCCUCUAUUUCUUCUAGGAAAUGGCAAAUAGUUGGUGUCGUAAAAAUCUUUCCUCAUUUCUCUGGUUCUUGGUGGUUGGAGCAGAUCUUCUGCUCCAACUGGGCUUUCUUCUUCUAUCAGUGCUGGUUGCACUGGUGCUGAUGUUCUUUGUUUCUCUUUUGGGUAUGGUGGAUCUCUGGUAGCUUUGCCUCCUCUAGUAGUUAUAUUCUUUACCUGCUCAAGGUUAGUAGCAACAGGCAGUGCAGCAGCUAACUUUAUUAAUUUAAGCUCUACCCUUUUAUUAAGAGUGUUUUGCUCAUCAAAGGCAGUUAGUAGAAAAUCCAUUUUAUUGUAUAUAUCUUUUAGAGAUGAUUCAUUUGUAUCUAGCCUUUGUUUAACUUCAUCAUUAAUUUUGGUUUGUUGAGCAAUUAUCUCUUUUAAUGAAAGUUGCUUGAAAGUAUUACCUGAAUUCAUACCUUUGCUAUUGGGUUGACUUGAAGUUGGUUGAUAUUUGUAUGCUGUCUCUAUGGCCCUUUUAUCUUCUUUGAACUUGGCCCUCUCGUCAAUCCAAUGGAGCAAAUUUUCCAUCUUAGUUGAUAAUGCUUUUACUUCUUCUGGUAUUUCUUCAGUUUGAUGGCAUUGUUGAGCUUUAUCUUGGAACCAGCUUUGGUUUUCUGCUAUCUUAUCCAAAAGUAUCUCUGCUUUUCCAAUUGUAAGCUCCAAGAAUGAUCCUUUAGCAGAUGCAUCUAGGCACUCACGAGCCUUCUGGGUUAAUCCAUGGUAGAAGGUCUGCAUAAGUAACCAUGUGGCCAUUCCAUGGUGAGGACAAUCUGAUAUGUAUCCUUGAAAACGCUCCCAUGCUUCUGAAAUGGCUUCUGUCUUCUGUUGUUGGAAACUGACAAUAUUUCUUCUUAAGGCAGUUGUUUUGCCUAUAGGGAAAAACUUUGAUAGAAAGGCAUCUGACAAGUUCGUCCAGUUGUUGAUGUUAUCUUGAUGAGUGUAGAACCACUUCCUCGCUUUUCCUCCUAGUGAGAAUGGAAAAAGGCGAAGCAGUAUGACGUCUUUGUCAACUCCGUUGAUGUGGAUUGUGCUUCCAAUCUCUAAGAAAUUCUGCAAGUGUGCACUGGCAUCUUCAUGUGCCUUUCCACUGAAUUGUGUAGCUUGUACCAAAUUGAUGAGACUUGACUUGAGCUCAAACUCAGGUAUUCCUUCUUCUACUGCAAAUCUUGGACCGGUUGGAAUGUUGUCCAGACUUGGAGCAGAGAAUUCUUGCAAGGUCUUUUGUGCCAUAGCUUCAGCAAUUGGUAGCUAGCUUCUUCUUCUCUAGAUUGCUUUGGUUCUGAUGAUGAAGAGUUGAAUGUACCCAAAGUCAAUCCUGUUAUACCCUGUAUAAAAAUAUAAACAUAGAAAAACAACAGGGUGAACCUGCCAAUGCAGCGGUGCCUUGUUAUGAUUUCUCACUUAGUAGCUGUUUUUAUGCAAUUAUUUCUCUAUAGUCUAGUCUAAUAUUUUAUAUGAAUAACCUUGAUUGAUUUUCUGGCUUUCCUUACUAUUACCCUUUUGUUCCCUUUUAUGAUUUAUUCCUGAGACUCAUAUAAUUCCUAUAAAUGUUCUAACAUGUCCCCGGCAACGGCGCCAGAAAUGCUUGUUGACACUAGCUAACACCACUUAGAUACUAGGUUGUCAUCCCUAGCAUGGCGCCAGAGUGUACAAAGGUAUUUAUAAAUGUAAAGGCUCUCUAGAAAAUAAUCUAUUCUAUCCGCAAGCGCACAGAUAAAACACCUCAUUGUAGCAUUUCACCAGGAUAAGUAUUCCAGGUAUCGUUAUUUAUAAUUUUGCUUAGGGGAUCUAAGGAAGAUGGAAUUAAAAUAAAAGAGCAAAAUCUAUCAAGGCAUAGACUAGAGAUAAACUUGCAGGAACAUGAUUACUAAUGAGAAACUCGUCACACAGUCACAUACUUUAGCAGGGGGUAAACCAUAAAGAUAAUGAUAAUAAAGUAUAAGUUCAUGGGUAGAUAGCACAGCGAUUAGAAAAUAGACUACUCCUCAUAUAUGUAGGUGACGUCGGAUUAGCUAGAGAAUGGAUUCUAAGUUAUCUACUAACUACUAAGUCAUAAUCUACUCUAGUUAUCUACAAGAUCAUGUAUAGCAUAAAAGACUCUUCAUUCAUGUAUAAGGAACAUUGAUAAAGUAAAUCAGAACAUCGCAUGACUUACUCCACAAUACCGGUUCUGCCUGUCCUAUCAACGGAGGGUGGACUAUAUAAGAAUCAACGAAGCUGUCACUAUCGCGAACUACCACACGACUCGGCCAAUAGGAUACAUUUGCAGAUAAAUAACAUCUAAGCACCACGCUCACAUGUGAUCUAUCACCUAACUCCCUCGCGACAAGAGCUAAGCGCUUUGCAAACUUAUACAUAAACUCAUUAUCAAUUAGAACUAUAUCAAAUAUAGAACUAGAGUAAACUAAGAACAUAAUAAUUAAAGACAUAAUGCAAUUAGAACAAAGAAUUAGAGAAAGAUAUGAAUAAUACCAAUCUUUAUUACCGAAGAUCCGAAUCCAGAGCGUAGUGCUCUACUUCUCUAAUUGCUAUCUAAUCAACCUCUAAACUUGAAGGAUUAGGGAGUAGCUAAUUCUAAUUCUCUGUGGGAGAGAGAUCUAAACCCUAACUUUGAUGGCUACCUCUGAAUAAUGAUUUCUCCUCUCUCCUCCAGGGGCCAGGGGGUCUGGUUUUAUAGUCCCCUCAAGUGAACGUGAGCCAUUGGAUCAAACCGACAUAGAUUGUAUGGUUUAGAUUGAUCCUUUAGGUCGGUGGAGCGUAGUCCCGAAGCAGAGUCCUGAUUGGCCUCUAUCCCUGGGCGGGCGCCCAAGGGGGGUGGGCGGGCGCCCAGCCCCCGAGCCCGAAUCGUGUCCCGUUCGUUCCCGUGGCUUCUGGACCCUUCUAGAUUGAGGAAAAUUACGCGGCAGGUAAUUAUCUCGUUGUAAACAUGACAUGUGGGCCUUCUCUCCAUAUUUUCUGAUAAACCCCUGCAAAAAUAGAUAAACACCAAAACUCGUGGAAUUCUGUCAGAUAAAACCCUAAUUCUAUAUGUUUGUUUCAUAUUGAUCCUUUUUCAUGUUUAUUUGAUUAUUAAUUUUAGUACUUAAGGACCGUCAACAUCCACCAUAAGCAAAGCAUAUAGAGUUUGGAACUUGGCAAGUGGCAUAUUAGAAGAAGUCCAUGAUGUUGAGUUUGAUGAAACCAAGGGAUCUCAAAGUGAAGCUCAAAAUUUUGAUGAUGUGAGGGGAGAUCAAUUGGCAAAUGCAAUGAAGAACAUAGAUGUAGGUGACAUAAGACCAAGGCAAGUUGAUGAUGAUGGUCACAUUCACAUGAUCAAUCAAGAAGUGCAAAUUGAUACAAAUCAAGCUAGUACUAGUGGCUCUCAUGAUGAUGAUCAAAAUCAAAGUCAAACAAGUGGAAGUAAUCAACUCCCAAUCCUCCAACCUACAAGCAUAGCAAGGGAUCAUCCAUUGGACCAAGUCAUUGGUGGUAUUCAAAGUGGUGUACAAACAAGAUCAAGGCUAGCAUCCUUUUGUGAGCACUAUUCAUUUGUCUCAUUUGAAGAACCAAAGAGAACAGAAGAUGUAUUGAAGGAUUCCGAGUGGGAAAAUGCCAUGCAUGAAGAAUUGAACAACUUCACAAGAAAUUAAGUGUGGGAGCUUGUUGAGAGGCCAAAGAACUACAAUGUGAUUGGUACCAAGUGGGUCUUUAGAAACAAGCAAGAUCAAGAUGGUGUAGUUGUGACAAACAAAGCAAGAUUAGUAGCACAAGGCUACACUAAAGUUGAAGGUCUUGACUUUGGAGAGACAUAUGCACCGGUUGCAAGAUUGGAGGCAAUUAGAAUAUUAUUAGCCUAUGCUUGUGCCCACAACAUCAAGCUAUAUCAAAUGGAUGUGACGAGUGCAUUUCUCAAUGGAUACAUAAAUGAGUUGGUUUAUGUUGAACAACCUCCCGGUUUUGAAGAUGACAAGAAACCCAACCAUGUUUACAAGCUCAAGAAGGCAUUGUAUGGUUUGAAGCAAGCACCUAGAGCAUGGUAUGAGAGAUUGAGAGAUUUUCUUCUCUCUAAAGGGUUCAAGAUAGGAAAGGUUGACACUACCCUCUUCACCAAGAAGCUAGACAAUGACUUGUUUGUGUUGCAAAUCUAUGUUGAUGAUAUCAUAUUUGGAUCAACCAAUCAAGACUUUUGUGAAGAGUUUGGAAGAAUGAUGGCAAAUGAGUUUGAGAUGUCCAUGAUAGGAGAGCUUAGUUACUUCCUUGGACUUCAAAUCAAGCAAAUGAAGGAUGGCACUUUUGUGAGUCAAGGAAAGUACAUCAAGGACAUGAUCGAGAAGUUUGGGUCGCAAGAAGCUAAACCAAUGAGCACACCUAUGGGCACAAAUGAUCAAUUAGGUAGUGAUGCAAGUGGCUACAUGGUAGAUCAAAAGCUAUACCGGUCUAUGAUUGGAAGUUUGCUCUAUGUCACCGCAUCAAGGCCGGAUGUGAUGUUUAGUGUGUGCAAAUGUGCAAGAUACCAAGCUUCACCUAGAGAAAGUCACUUGAAGGCAACCAAAAGAAUAUUGAGAUAUCUUAAGGGCACUCAUGAUGUUGGACUAUGGUAUCCCAAGGGGUCCAACUUUGAGUUGAUUGGAUAUUCAGACUCCGAUUAUGGUGGAUGCAAGAUUGAUAGAAUGAGCACAAGUGGCACUUGUCAAUUGCUAGGAAGGUCUCUAGUUUCAUAGUCAUUAGAGAAACAAAAUAGUGUUGCAUUAUCAACUGCCGAGGCCGAAUACAUUAGUGCUGGUAGUUGUUGUGCAUAAUUGCUUUGGAUGAAAGCUACCUUGAAUGACUUUGGAAUCAAAUUCAAGAAUGUGCCUUUGCUAUGUGACAAUGAGAGUGCAAUCAAGAUGACACAAAAUCCGGUUUAACAUCCAAGAACCAAGCACAUUGACAUAAGGCACCAUUUCAUAAGGGACCAUCAACAAAAGGGUGAUAUUAGCAUUGAAAGCAUUGGUACCGAAGAUCAACUAGCCGACAUCUUCACAAAGCCACUUGAUGAGAAGAGAUUUUGCAAGUUGAGAAAUGAAUUGAACAUACUUGACUUCUCCAACUUGAGAUGAGUGCACCCCCACAUUUAUCUAUGACAUGCCUCUCCUCCAACAAAGCAAGGUAAAGUUGGUUGACAUAGCUGUUGACACUUGCUAACACCACUUGAAUACUAGGUUGUCAUCCCUAGCAUGGCACUAGAGUGUACUAUGGUAUUUAUACGCACACAGAUAAAUUCGCAAGCGCACGGAUACUGUUGUAGCUUUUACCCGGUUAAAGGUCUUAUCGUAUCCACAGGGAAACAUGAGAACUGAUCUACGCUCUAACUUAACCUAGAUAGACAGGUAGGUGUAAAUAGGUAAGAUGGUAGAAUUGAAUAUGAACAAUAUUAAAGGUAAGAUAAUAAUGGGUGAUAAUAUGGGAAUAGAGAGUAGAGCAAUCUAAUAUAUGAGCGAUGGUAGGAGAAUAGAGAGGAUAACUAUGGUUUCUCUACUUCAAAGGGGUAUGUCUAUGUCUGGGACGAACCACGUGAUAAGAAUACACCACAAAAGAUGCUUAUCCAUAGGCCGAUAAACCCUACCAGUCCUGCUAACGGGAGGUGGACUACAGGGGACCAACGUAACUGUCACCUACGCGGCCUACCACACGAUCCGGCUAGACAGGGGAUAUCCACAAGUAAUCUAGGUCUAAGCACCACGCUUACACCUAUACUACAACUCUCACCUAUAGCGUCCUAUAGAUUAAAGUACUCAAAAGAGUUGUGAACCAGAACAUACAUGGAUAGUAAUUGCAUAAUGAAAUAGAAGUAGAUUACCAGAGUCAUCCCAUGAGCAAGCUUGAUUAGAGCUCGAUCAUGGCGAAGUACAACCAGAGGAAGAACCGAUAGGCCGGCCUCUCCUCCAAUCCUCCCUCGCUCUCCAUCUCGCUGUUGGCACUUGCUAAUACCACUUGAAUACUAGGUUGUCAUCCCCAGCAUGGCACUAGAGUGUACUAUGGUAUUUAUACGCACACAGAUAAAUCCGCAAGCGCACGGAUACCGUUGUAGCUUUUACCCGGUUAAAGGUUUUAUCGUAUCCACAGGAAAAUGGGAGAACUGAUCUACGCUCUAACUUAACCAAGAUAAAUAAAUAGGUGUAAAUAGGAAAGAUAGUAGAAUUGAAUAAGAACAAUAUUAAAGGUAAGAUAACAAUGGGUGGUAAUAUGAGAAUAGAGAGUAGAGCAAUCUAGUAUAUGGGCGAUGGUAGCACAAUAGAGAGGAUAACUAUGGUUUCUGUACUUCAAAGGGGUAUGUCUAUGUCUGGGACGAACCACGUGAUAAGAAUACACCACAAAGGAUGCUUAUCCAUAGGCCGAUAAACCCUACCAGUCCUGCUAACGGGAGGUGGACUACAGAGGACCAACGUAACUGUCACCUACGCGGCCUACCACACGAUCCGGCUAGACAGGGGAUAUCCACAAGUAAUCUAGGUCUAAGCACCACGCUUACACCUAUACUACAACUCUAACCUAUAGGGUCCUAUAGAUUAGAAGUACUCAAAAGAGUUGUGAACCAGAACAUACAUGAUUAGUAAUUGCAUAAUGAAUUAGAAGUAGAUUACCAGACUCAUCCCAUGAGCAAGCUUGAUUAGAGCUUGAUCAUGGCGAAGUACAACCGAAGGAAGAACUGACAGGCCGGCCUCUCCUCUAAUCCUCCUUCGCUCUCCAUCUUGCUACUAUCUAGAUCUACUCUAGUUUAGAGAUGAGAGGAGAGCUCUCAUCUCCAAACCCUAGCUUUUGCUCUGUCUAUGAAUAAUGAAUAAUGAUUAAGGGGUGUCUCCUCCAGGGGCCAGGGGGUCUGGUUAUAUAGUCCCCUCAAGUGAAUCUUGGUCGUCGGAUCAAACCGACAUUGAUUGAACGAUUAUUCUUGAUCCUUUAGGUCGGUGGAGCGUAAUCCGCGAAGUUGAACAUGAUUGGCCAAAAUACUUGGGCGGGCGCCCUAAGGACUUGGGCAGGCGCCCUAUCUCUAAGCCCUCUCGGCUUCCGCUUUGUUCCCAUGGUUUCUGGAGUCUUCUAGAUGAUAGAAAAUUGCGCGGCAUGUUAAUAUCUCUAUGUAAACCCUACGUGCGGGCCUUUCCUCCAUAUUUCCUGAUAACCCCCUGCAGAAAUAGACAAACACCAAAACUCGUGGAAUUCUGUCAGAUAAAACCCUAAGUCUGGGUGUUGGUUGCAUUUGAAUCCUUUUCUUUAUUUAUUUGAUGAUUAUAUUUGAUACAACUCCCCCAAGCUUACCUCUUGCUCGUCCUUGAGCAAGGAUGGACUCAAGAGUUUCUGCAGUGGUUUUAUACCUUAAAGGUACAUAUGCAUUUAAACAAGAUCUCAUCUCUAGGUUAGGGUAAACUGUUAAUAUUUAAACUUACUCAUAUUACCUUCCACCAUGGGGCUUGCAACCGUCACUUGUGUCUUGAGCAGUUAAAAGAUAGAACGGUCAAGUCAAGCACCAUGUCUCUUGUUCUUUGAUCAACUAUAGCUUUGGAGUUUUUGCAGAUUUUCAAAUAAAACUCAGAGAUUCCUUGUAUGACUCUCUCUAGUCUCUCUUUUGUGGUAUUUUUGGAUCCUUACCAAGGCAGUGAUGAUAUAUGCCUUCUCUCUCACCCUACUCUAACAAGGUUUUGAUAUCUAGAGCUCAUAGGUGGGAGACAGCUAAUACAUACUUACAAGACAUUUAUUGCAUAGUCAAACCAUGGAUCUAGAGAAACAAGUCAAUAAGUCAAAUCAAGAUGUCCAUGUGUGGCGAAUGAAUGGUGUAUGGUGAUGAUGGUGAUAAUGGUGAAAACAAUGGUGAAAGUCUAAUUCUACUUUUACUCUUUUGAGGGGAUACAUACCUUUCUUGCACUUUGAAGCUUUUUGAGGAGAAUGAGAUGCUCUAUAUUUUAUUUUUCUUUUCUCUCAGGUGCGUAUCUUGUACCCCUAAUUCUACUGUCGGACACUUGUCUAUUUUUACCUCUCGUCUCACUUUUUUUUCUUUUGAGGUUCUGGGCACUUGCCCCUUUUUAUUUCCUCGUAUUUUUCUUUUUUUUCUUCUCUCUCUUUUUUAGAGCACUCACCCUCCAAGAAUAAUGUAGCAAGUGGUAGUAACCAAAAUAUCUCGAGCAUUUAUUUCACAGGGAAUAACAGGGAUAGGAGAAUGUUUUUGGCUAUUCUCUCCCAGAUAGGAGUAGAAUACUUUUAGGUGAAUCUAGAGAUGGAAGUGAGUGGAUGGAUGUGGAUGCGUACUUCUGGAGUAGAAGUAGCAUAUAUGAGUGAACGUGCAAGUGAAUCUUGAUUUUAACCGCAUGACAAACUCCGAAGGGUCUACACAGCUUGACCACACUCAAUGCUCAUAAGCAGUAAAAAGUAAAUGCAUGGUUCAUUAAGCAUGUAUAUAUGGCUGUGGUGGGAUUUUAAACUCUCAUCAUACAGGAACUCAUCAUGCAAAAUUUUAAAGAUUUUCAAAGAUAAACAGCAUGCCUCAACUCUAGGAACAGAUAAACAGCAGCUCAACCUUCCCAUAUCAUAUCCGUUAACGACUUAGACUUUAGAUCAAGUACUCUUCCCACAAGUUCAGGUUUAGAGCAAAUCUUAAUUCAUAACAGUCAUGCCUAAACUUGAGAGAGAAUUUAAUUUUGAGAACUAGUCAUGGCAGAGCAACUAUUCAUCAUUUCCAUGUGAGAGCUUAUCAUGAGGGUUCAUAGCAAACUUUAUUAAUUUAUUUAUUUAGCAAACUAAGAAAAGAUAUAUAUAUAAGCAUAAAAUCUUUAUUUGGGUUUUUAUGCUUAUGCAUCUUUUUAUUAUUUUAACAAAGUAUAGGUAUAAACGUAGAUAGAAAUACUUAGCUGGAUAAAUGGGGGUGCUCUCCCCCAAGCUGGAUUUUGACGUAAUUUCUUUUGAUGUAGCUAGCAGGUGGCGGAGGUGUAUUUGAAUGUCAGUAGCACUCUGACAGCGAUUAGAAUGUCCUCCGUCUGCUAGUCUUCCUUGAAUUCUGUGGAGUUCAAAUAGACAACAAAGCUUUGUGGAACUAGUUAAGUGUUAGCAUAAAUAUCUAGCCAUUAUCAUGUUGAGCUUCCUCUAAUAAAUAUUACUCUCUUUGGUAGGAUCAUAAAUUUAUUUUUAUAUUUUCAUUUCUAUAGGACAAGAAUAUAUUUAUUUUAUUUUUGCGCCACCACAGUGAAUGUACUUAUGGGUUUCAUGCCACGAGUAUACUCACAUGGGGCUUAGUAUUUUUUAACAUUUUUAUUUUCUUUUCAAGAUAGCAUGAUUAACUAAUAAGAUAUUUAAGGAAAGUAAAUAAUUAAAGGGAAAAGGGAAUGCAGAAAGGAUAAAUAUGGAUAACUACCGAUUUUACCUUUCGGCGAGGAUUCAAUGUUUUAAGUCUUCUGAACAAGACAUCUCACCGUGUUCAUUCUUCAGGUGCGUCAUUUGAUUCAGGUGUGGACCUUGACGUCUGCACCUCUUAAUACGGUGGCACCCAUGUUCUUCGUUUGCCCAGUAGUUCAAAGUGCGGUGUUGGCAGUAUCUUGCUCAGUGUGUUUGUGCUCGUAGUGUACCUGCUCAUAGAGACAAGGCAGAGAUCAAGUGCAUGGGCCCUGUUGGUGGAAAACACCAACAGAACCAAAAGUAUAUUUAUUCUUCUCUAUCCUUAAGCAUAGGGAGCAAGACAAAGUUGAUGGGUGAUAAGUUCAUGAGUGUAGCAUUUAAAACAUUUGUCAGAUCAGAUCGCUCAACCUAAUGGAAAGAUAAUCUAUCUAUAUUUAUGUUUUUUAUAUAUCUUCCAAAGAUUAAGUGUGCAACAUUUUAGCUCAUAUGAUUAGAAGUGUGGGAUCACAAAGGUGGAAGGACUAAACAUGUUGAAUCAAUUGGGUUGGUUAAUCUAGAGUUGUAAAUCAUACAUGUUUGUCUCUUUUAUUGAUAUGAACGCCAGAACCAAGGAGAAACUUAUAAAAGUGAUAGUCAAGUACCUUAAGAUGUUACAUUAUUUGAAGAGUGAUGGUACAGUAUCUCCUUGUGGAAGCUUUCCUGUAACACCCAAAAAUUUGCUUUUGAAUUAGGUUUAAUUUGAUUUAAUUAAGUAUAUUUUUUUGUGAGCAUUUAAAUUAGUAAAUAAAUAAAUUUUGUUGAAAUUAAAUUUAUCAUAAGUCUAGUAAACUUGAUCGGGCAUUCAUGCUGAAGCAUAUUUCAUUUUGUGUUGUUUGCCUUUGGAUUCAAAAUAAUAUUUAGAAAAGGUUUUGGAAAAGGAAUAAAAAAGAUAAAAGCACCAACCCUGCCCUCGGCGUGGUGGCCUUUUGGCCCAGCCAGUUUUUUUCCCAACCGACUUCCCAUCGGCCCAGCCAGCAGAUCGCGGCCCAACUUCUCUACCCGCACGCGCACCCGCCUCCCUCUCUUUUCGUUUCACUGACCGACGGGCCCCGCUCUUCCCUGCCGCUGACGCACUGGCCCCAUCUGUCAGCUGGUUUCUUCAACCUCAAGCCGUGACCGGCUUGGACUCUGCUCCACCGAAAAUUUUCCCCGAUUUCUCGGGAUUUCUUGCCAACGUGCGCGUCGAGCACCCCUAUAAGAAGGUGGGGCACUCCACUUGAUCCCGGUUCCGUCGUAGGCCACCCCAAGCCCUAAUUCCCAGUCGCCCCCAUUUUGGAUCUCGGUGAACGCAGAAACAAGCCGCCGCCGUGGUUCUCGCCCCGAAGUGCUCUCUGGUAGUUGAAAGCUUCGUGCCGAGCUUCGCGACGUCCUUGCGGAGCCGCAGAACCCUUCCUUCCUCCUUUUCGUGCGCUUGGUGAUCCGCUAACCCAUGCCGAACUUCUGCAGGAGCUUCUAUCCGCCGGGUCACGUGACCAGUCAUCUCCGAGCCCUCCUCGCCUUUGCGUUUUGCCCUAGGUGAAUUCGUCUCGAUUCCCUCUUGCUUCCGGUAUGAUUAGUUUCUUAAAUCAUGCCAAAAAUCGCCGUUUCGCCAACUCCGGCAAUGUUCCGGCCGAAAUCCGGCCAUGGCGCCACCGGCCGGGGCACUGUAGCCGGCCAGCACCCCCUCUUUUCCCUGGCUUCUAAUCCAAGCCAUACGAAUCUAAUCCAACGGCUCAAAUUCAACCAUACCCCUUCAUCUUUUCUUUUUGCUAAAGAGCCCCUCACCUAUUUGAAUAUCGAACCCGCGAUCCAUGGCAUAAAGACAAAAAGAUGCUUUGCUGUUUCAAAAGCGUAUUCUGGGUUGGUUAACAGGAAAAUACGUUUUCAGAUAAUUACAAAACUGCCACUGGAUUUGUUUAGCUUAUAAAACCUUCAUUUUAAUUCCGUUUUGACCCAUUCAAAUUGCGCUGGAUUCGUAUUAAUGAGCUCUGCAUGUUAGUAACACUGUUUUCUCAGUUUGAAACUUUUUAAUUUCGUGAUCUUAUUUAAUUAAUUACUUUUCGAUAUAAAAUCUUAGAAAAUUCAUAUCUUUUUCGUUUCAACUCCGAUUUUCAUGAUCUUUACGUCUGUGAGAUCGUAGCGCUGCGUAGAAUCUUUUUAUAAACUUUUCAUACUGUUUUUAUAUGAUUGGUGUACUGUUCUAAUUGUAGCCUUGUUUUCUUCAUGUAUGUUUUCUUCGAUUUUUUGUGUGAUUGAUGAUCGAGAUUAGACGAUAAGCAAUUCGUGGUGAACAAGAGUACUUCAUUGAACAAGAUUAGAGCCUUGGACAACUAGCAAGAUCAGCAAGAGAAUUUGGAUUAAGGCAAGUAUAGCAUUUGGAUUUUAUUUCUGUGACCAUGAUCCUGUGACUAGAUUAAUGUUAAGUAAUAAACGGUAAAAAUGACUUUAUAGCAACUUGAUGAUUUAUCUGUACGUGAUCACCCGGGGUAACAGUGCAACCAUGAGGGCUAUAAUGGCUCUGGCUUUAGUUAAGUAUGGGUAAUUUUUCUAGCUCAUUAGCGGUUACCCAUGUGGCGCAAUUGGGGAAUAGCAGACCGUGGAUUCCUGCGGGUGGAUCACAUGGACUGACUAAUGAAACCAAGCAGCCCUAACUUGUUAGACGAACCUUUGAAAGACUUCAUAGUGAUCUCUGUCGACCUCCCUAGGAAGGAGGUUAAGAGAUUAGCUACCUCGGGCGAAAGGGUAAAUCAUGACUCAUGGGUAAAGAUGUACAACCUCUGUAGAGGAUUAAAACUAGUAUACUAGCCGAGCUCACGGUCAGGAGCAGCCUUGGGGACAUCUACAUUAAGGGUGAUGAUUCUUGUGUGUUAAUAUGCUUAUUAUUAUUGUUUAAUGCUCUACAUUAUUUAUGUCACAUUGAUCAUGAGGUUGUGGGAUCUAUACAAUCUAGUUGCUAUACUUGUUGAGUUCGACAUAGACUCACUCUUGCUAUUUCCCCCAUACAUCAGGAGGAGUGUUAGGCUUGUGAUCAACCAGUCAGUUGGAUCCUGUAGAGUGAAGUUAAUACCCGAAGUUGGAGUUGGCUAUCCGAUGUUUGCUAUUAAAGGUUAUCUCUUUUAUACUAAGUACGUUAUAUAUUUAUGCAUUGUCUUUUGAUAUUACCCCUUUAUUUGUAGCUAUAUGUAAGAAUUGACUUCUAAGACUCACAUAUGGUGUGUAUCUGAUUUUGUCCUUAAAAUCAGGUAUUAUAAAGUGGUAUCAAAGUAAUGCUGACUGUAGGACACAAGCCUAGCUAGAAAAUGGCCAUCUUAAGGUUUUGAAAUAGUUAGAACACCCUUGCUCUAUAAACCUUGGUAUUUUUAUCUAUGCUAUAUCUCUACCCUUGCUAUUUAUCUCUACCUUGUUGCUUAUUUUAAAAGUACUUGUUCUCAUCUUCACUCCUUGAUUGAUAUGCUUUUAGAACCUUUUCUUACCAUCUUCUUGCGUCUUUGAAAUAUAAGUUUUAGGAUCAAUACCCUUGCCAUGAAGAGAACGAUAGUAUCGCAAGUUGAGUGAAGUGUGAACCUUUAAUGCUUAGUUGGUUUGUCAUUAUGCUUAUGCUUGAUUUGGAUCUUUGUAAUGAUUGCAAUGAUCUUGUGGGAUUCCUCCACAAUUUCAUUUAGUUCAUAGGCCUAAGGUAUAAGGAUUAAUGAAAUAAGUAGUUGGGUUUGGUUAUAUCCUGUUUCUAUCCCUUGCUGAUUGCUGGAGCAGUCUGCAAUAAUCAUGGUGUAUCUCAAGUUCUGAUCGUGCAAAGUUUGUCAACUUUUUUCGGGAACAACUAGACUUCAAGAUCUUUCUCUGACCGCAAGAAUCACCCUCAUAGCUGUUAUGGUUUGGAAGUUACAAAAAUCACAAGAUGAUACAACUGUGCUGUCAAGAACCUGGACCAGUUUUGGUUGCUUACUGUUUGAGACAAAUAUAGCUAUAGAAUUUGGAAAAGUGUUCUGUAGAAACGAUGUAGACAAUUUACUAUGCUUUCCAACAGUAUAAGCUGGAACUAAUUUGGAUUAGUAGAACCUGAGAUAUGACAUUUACACUUGGAUGUUUCUGUUCUGUAUCAAAGUCUGGAUAGUUUUGGUAUUCCCUAUUUUUGGCCAAGUUAAAGACAGAAUCUGGGAAAACAUGGUAUACGAAAGUUGUAGAGGAUUUCCUAAGCUUUUAAAAAAUGUAAGGAUCAUCUCCAGAUGAGUUAAGUAGCUCGAGAUAUAAUUUCUAGAAGUUACUGCACCUUUGCUGAGACAUUAUCAGAACAGAUAUUAUGUUUGGUUGUAUUACCUAAGCUUAAAGACAGAAUCUAAGGAGGUCUUCUACAGAAACGUUGUGGUGAAUUUCAUAAGUUUUCUAACGAUAUAAUCUAUAACUCUAUUGGAUUAACAGAAUGAGAGUUAUACCUGUUUUUCUAUGCUGGUGUUUUUCAUAUCGCGGGAAAAUUUCAGGAUACAUGUUUAUUCUCUUGCACAUAAGCUCUUUUGGAUGUCAUAAGUUCUCAAUGCUAGUUAACUUGUCUGGAAAAUAUGCUAGCUACCCUUCUUGUGUCCCCUAGUUGACCUUUCUUAAGGGGGGUAGCCCAAAUAAAGGGGUUACAUGGAGAAGAAUUGGAUAAUGUUGGAUCAAGAGACUCGGUACCACGAAUGUAAAAGACUAUGAUGUGUGGCGUCCAAAAAGGAUAGGAGAACUAGUCCCUAGUGUCCCCCAAUCAAUCUAAUUUUAAGGGGGGUAGUACCUUGAUAUCACGGGUGAUGCAUUUUAAAACUAGCUUGAAGUGAUAAUUGUCUUCUGAGAUAUUCUUUGGUUAUAAUCAUCUAUCCUUGCCGUGUUACUGACGUUGGUCACUUGAUGACAGGGAGUGUAGUGUCCCAUGAAUCCGGAGCACAAUAUGACACCUCUCAUGGAUAGGUGGAAAGAAUAUGAUCAUCUUGCCUUUGAAGAAAGAUGCUAUGAGUAUGACAAAACUGAGUGUUAUCAAAGUAAUAAUACGGAAGAGCAAGUUGACAUUGAAUCAAAUCAGAAUUCACAACGACGGAAGCGAAAAAGGAAAGCUCGUAAGAAGCCUGCUCACAGAAAUAAAGUAUAACAAAAUUAUAUUAAUGGAAGACUGAACAAUGUGGAUAUGAAUAACAUUCAAGGAGUCACCAAAGUGGUGGGUGGUUAUGUUCAAGUGGACUCAGUGUUGGUUUUUGCUCUGUUUGACCGAAGUGCUUCCCAUUCUUUCAUUUCUGCCAACUUGGUAAAAACAAUUGAGCGGUGAAGUGUCCAACAAGGAAGCCUUUGUUAGUUCAAACUCCAAAGGGAGAAAUACAGGCAGACCAGGUUUGCUCGAAUAUUAAUCUGGUCAUAAGAAAGGAGAACUUCACAGUAAACCCCAUUGUGCUAGAGUCACUCAAUAUUCCUUUGGUUCUUGGCAAUGGAUGGUUAUGUGCACACAAGGCAGUGAUCUAUGCUACCCAGUGGAAACUUUUCUUAACCGCACCAUCAGGGAAAAGAAUUGAGUAUCAAGAUGGUCCACUCCUACAUGAGGAGGCAUAUCUAUGCUAAGUUAUCAUGUCUUUGAGUUGUAUAAGUCAAAAGUUGGUAGUCAAGAUGGUUUUUAAUCAGCUAUGAAUAAUAGACAUUUUAUGGAUGUUUUAUUUACAAGUUGUGAUCCCGAGACAUAAGUGUUUACAUUGGAAUACAAGUUGUGAAGUUGAAAUAGAUAUCAAGAUCUUGUUCUUGUCUCCCUUUUGGAAUCCGUGUCUCUUCCGAAUCUCGAGGACGAGAUUCAUUUUAAGGGGGUAGAUUUGUAACGCCCAAAAAUUUGCUUUUGAAUUAAUAGGGUUUAAUUUGAUUUAAUUAAGUAUAUUUUUUUGUGAGCAUUUAAAUUAGUAAAUAAAUAAAUUUUGUUGAAAUUAAAUUCAUCAUAAGUUUAGUAAACUUGAUCGGGCAUUCAUGCUGAAGCAUAUUUCAUUUUGUGUUGUUUGCCUUUGGCUUGAAAUUAUUUUGCAUUCAAAAUAAUAUUUAGAAAAGGUUUUGGAAAAGGAAUAAAAAAGAGAAAAGCACCAACCCUGCCCUCGGCGUGGUGGCCUUUUGGCCCAACCAGUUUUUUCCCCAGCCGACUUCCCAUCGGCCCAGCCAGCAGAUCGCGGCCCAACUCCUCUCCCCGCACGCGCACCCGCCUCCCUCUCUUUUCGUUUCACUGACCGACGGGCCCCGCUCUUCCCUACCGCUGACGCACUGGCCCCAUCUGUCAGCUGGUUUCUUCAAUCUCAAGCCGUGACUGGCUUGGACUCUGCUCCACCGAAAAUUUUCCCGAAUUUCUCGGGAUUUCUUGCCAACGUGCGCGUUGAGCACCCCUAUAAGAAGAUGGGGCACUCCUCUUGAUCCCGGUUCCGUCGUAGGCCACCCCGAGCCCUAAUUCCUAGUCGCUCCCGUUUUGGAUCUCGGUGAACGCAGAAACAAGCCGUCGCCGUGAUUCUCGCCCCGAAGUGCUCUCUGGUAGUUGAAAGCUCCGUGCCGAGCCUCGCGACGUCCUUGCGGAGCCGCAGAACCCUUCCUUCCUCCUUUUCGUGCGCUAGGUGAUCCGCUAACCCAUGCCGAAUUUCUGCAGGAGCUUCUAUCCGCCGGGUCACGUGGCCAGUCAUCUCCGAGCCCUCCUCGCCCUCGCGUUUUGCCCUAGGUGAGUUCGUCUCGAUUCCCUCUUGCUUUCGGUAUGAUUAGUUUCUUAAAUCAUGCCAAAAAUCGCCGUUUCGCCAACUCCGGCGAUGUUCCGGCCGAAAUCCGGCCAUGGCGCCACCGGCCGGGGCACUGUAGCCGGCCAACACCCCCUCUUUUCCCCGGUUUCUAAUCCAAGCCAUACGAAUCUAAUCCAACGGCUCAAAUUCAACCAUACCCCUUCAUCUUUUCUUUUUGCUAAAGUGCCCCUCGCCUAUUUGAAUAUCGAACCCGCGAUCCAUGGCGUAAAGACAAAAAGACACUUUGCUGUUUCAAAAGCGUAUUCUGGGUUGGUUAACAGGAAAAUACGUUUUUAGGUAAUUACAAAACUGCCACUGGAUUUGUUUAGCUUAUAAAAUCUUCAUUUUAAUUCUGUUUUGACCCAUUCAAAUUGCGUUGGAUUCGUAUUAAUGAGCUGUGCAUGUUAGUAACACUGUUUUUUCAGUUUGAAACUUUUUAGUUUCGUGAUCCUAUUUAAUUAAUUACUUUUCUAUAUAAAAUGUUAGAAAAUUCAUAUGUUUUUCGUUUCAACUCUGAUUUUUGUGAUCUUUACGAGUUUGUGAGAUCGUUGCGCUGCGUAGAAUCUUUGUAUAAACAUUUCAUACUGUUUUUAUAUGAUUGGUGUACUGUUCUAAUUGUAGCCUUGUUUGCUUCAUGUAUGUUUUCUUCGAUUGUUUGUGUGAUCGAUGAUCGAGAUUAGACGAUAAGCAAUUCGUGGUGAACAAGAGUACUUCAUUGAACAAGAUCAGAGCCUUGGACAACUAGCAAGAUCAGCAAGAGCAUUUGGAAUAAGGCAAGUAUAGCAUUUGGAUUUUAUUUCUGUGACCAUGAUCCUGUGACUAGCUUAAUGUUAAGUAAUAAACGGUAAAAAUGACUUUAUAGCAACUUGAUGAUUUAUCUGUACGUGAUCACCCAGGAUAACAGUGCAACCAUGAGGGCUAUAAUGGCUCUGGCUUUAGUUAAGUAUGAGUAAUUUUUCUAGCUCGUUAGCGGUUACCCAUGUGGCGCAAUUGGAGAAUAGCAGACCGUGGAUUCCUGCGAGUGGAUCACAUGGACUAACUAAUGAAACAAAGCGGCCCUAACUUGUUAGACGAACCUUUGAAAGACUUCAUAGUGAUCCCUGCCGACCUCCCUAGGAAGGAGGUUAAGAGAUUAGCUACCUCGGGCGAAAGGGUAAAUCAUGACUUAUGGGUAAAGAUGUACAACCUCUGCAGAGGGUUCAAACUAGUAUACUAGCCGAGCUCACGGUCAGAAGCGGCCUUGGGGACAUCUACAUUAAGGGUGAUGAUUCUUGUGUGUUAAUAUGCUCAUUAUUUAUUGUUUAAUGCUCUACAUUAUUUAUGUCACAUUGAUCAUGAGGUUGUGGGAUCUAUACAAUCUAGUUGCUAUACUUGUUGAGUUCGACAUGGACUCACUCUUGCUAUUUCCCCCAUACAUCAGGAGGAGUGUUAGGCUUGUGAUCAACCAGUCAGUUGGAUCCUGUAGAGUAAAGUUAAUACCCGAAGUUGGAGUUGGCUAUCUGCUGUUUGCUAUUAAAGGUUAUCUCUUUUAUACUAUGUGUUGACACUAGCUAACACCACUUAGAUACUAGGUUGUCAUCCCCAGCAUGGUGCCAGAGCGUACAAAGGUAUUUAUAAAUGUAAAGGCUCUCUAGAAAAUAAUCUAUUCUAUCCGCAAGCACACAGAUAAAACACCUCAUUGUAGCAUUUCUCCAGGAUAAGUAUUCCAGGUAUCGUUAUUUAUAAUUUUGCUCAAAGGAUCUAAGGAGAUUAAAUUAAGGGCAAAAGCUAUCAAGGCAUAAAUAACACAGCGAUUAGAAUAUAGACUACUCCUCAUAUAUGUAGGUGAUGUCGGAUUAGCUGGAGAAUGGAUUCCAAUUUAUCUACUAACUACUAAGUCAUAAUCUACUCUAGUUAUCUACAAGAUCAUAUAUAGCAUAAAAGACUCUUCAUUCAUGUAUAAUGAACAUUGAUAAAGUAAAUCAGAGCAUCGCACGACUUACUCCACAAUACCGGUUCUGCCUGUCCUAUCAAUGGAGGGUGGACUAUAUAAGAAUCAACGAAGCUGUCACUAUCGUGAACUACCACACGACCCGGCCAAUAGGAUACAUUUGCAGAUAAAUAACAUCUAAGCACCACGCUCACAUGUGAUCUAUCACCUAACUCCCUCGCGUCAAGAGCUAAGCGCUUUGCAAACUUAUACAUAAACUCAUUAUCAAUUAGAACUAUAUCAAAUAUAGAACUAGAACAAACUAAGAACAUAAUAAUUAGAGACAUAAUGCAAUUAGAACAAAGAAUUAGAGAAAGAUAUGAAUAAUACCAAUCUUUAUUACUGAAGAUCCGAAUCCAGAGCGUAGUGCUCUACUUCUCUAAUUGCUAUCUAAUCAAACCUCUAAACUUGUAGGAUUAGAGAGUAGCUAAUUCUAAUUCUCUGUGGGAGAGAAGCUCUAAACCCUAACUUUGAUGGCUACCUCUGAAUAAUGAUUUCUUCUCUUCUCCUCUCUCCUCCAGGGGGGAGAGGCCUUGGUUUUAUAGUCCCUUCAAGUGAAUUUGAGCCGUCGGAUCAAACCUACAUUGAUUAUGUGGUUUAGAUUGAUCCUUUAGGUCGGUGGAGUUUAGCCCCGAAGCAGAGUCCUGAUUGGACUCCUAGCCUGGGCGGGCGCCCAAGGGGGGUGGGCAGGCGCCCUGCCCCCGAGCCCGAUCCUCUUCUCGUUCGUUCUCGUGGCUUCUGGACUCUUCUAGAUUGAAGAAAAUUGCACGGCACAUAAUUAUCUCGUUGUAAACAUGACAUGUGGGCCUUCUCUCCAUAUUGUCUGAUAACCCCCUACAGAAAUAGAUAAACACCAAAGCUCGUGGACUUCUGUUAGAUAAAACCCUAAUUCUAGAUGUUUGUUUUAGAUUGAUCCUUUUCCAUGUUUAUUUGAUUAUUAAUUUUAGUACUUAAGGACCGUCAACAAACUCCCCCAAGCUUACCCUUUGCUCGUCCCUGAGCAAAUAGCUAAACUCAGACGAAUCAGGAGUUGCUUCGAUGUUUUCUAUCCUGACAGGCACACAUGCUUUUAUAUAAAAAUUCUUCCAGAUUAGAGUGAAGUGUUAUGGAGUUUAGUACCUACACUUAAGUCUUAAGUAACUGAAAGACAAAAUAAUUAAGUCAAGCACUAUCCCUCCUGUUAUACUUCACCUUUGUUCCAGAGUUUUUCAUAAGUUUUCAAAAUAAAACUCAGAGUUCCCAGCAAUGAUUCUCUCAAGUCUCUCUAUAUGUAGUAUUUGUGGAUCCUUACCAAAAUGUCACUUACCUAUAGCUAAUGGAAUAUUUAAGUGGAGCUCAUAGGAGUGAAAAACAGCUCAUACAUAUGUUGUCUAAUCGAGCCAUGGAUCCAAAGGAACUCAGCAUAUAAUUAAGUCAAGAUGUGCAUGUGUGGUGGAGUAAAUGGUAGUGAUGGUGAUAAUAAAACUUACUUCUCAUUGCUCCUCAUAUUGCUAUCUCUCCUCCUCUUUGAUCUUUGCUUUGGGAGAACAUGGGCUAUCUUUUUUUUUCAGGUGGGUAGUAGAUACCCCUAAUUCUACUAUCGGACACUUGUCCAUUUUUUCCGCUCAAGUGGGCAUCUUUGUACCCCUAAUUCUACUCCGGACACUUGUCCAUUUUUACCUCUCGUCUCACUCUUUUUCUUUCUUUUUUGAGGUUCCGGGCACUUGCCACUUUUUAUUUCCUCGCAUAUUUUUGCAUAACCCAUGCCUCUUCUGCAUUGAAUCUUUUUAGAGAGAGAGAAUAACAAUAUUUGGGACCGUGAGUGAUAAUAUUUUUAGCAAUUUUAAUGAAUGGUUGUGGAUGGUGUAGUAGAUGUGUGCAAGUGAAUAUCUUAAUUUAACCACAUGAAAAGCUCCUAAGGGUCUACACAGCUCGAUCAAACUCAAUGUAAAUAUAGUAAAAGAUGUUAUAGCAAGUAUGGCUGUGGUAGGUAGUUUGUUAUGCUAGGAACUCAUCAUGUGAUUUGUAAGUUUUCAAAAUAAAUCUCUAGAACUUAGUGUAGUAGGAACAAGAUAAACAAUAGCUCAACUUUAUAUCACGCCUUUCGCAUACCUAGACUUUAGUUUUAUGCUUCCCAAAGAUAGUAAUUUUAGCUGUAGUAAAUCCUAGAAGAACUCUAAUAUAAAAGCUAGGUACUUGAAAGUAAGCAAACAGAGCAACUGUUCAUCAUUUCCAUCAUGCAUCUUUUUUGUCUUUUAUUUUUCUAGAGAUUAACACUUAGCAGAUAAAAUAAGGCACACUUAUCUACACACUCUUUUUAUUUUGUUUUCAUGUUUAUAGAAUGCAGUAAAUUAAAGCAAGAAAAUAUUUAUUGGGUUUUCUAAGUUUUUCCUUUUAAGAUAAAAAACUAAAAUAGAAAAGAAUAAAUAAGAAGAGCAAAUAAAAACUUACUUGAUAAAUUGGGGAGGAACUCUCCCAAGCUGGAUGUUGAUGUCGGCCUUACCCGAGGUUCCAGAACCGCAUCAUGGUUGUGAUGUUGUCGUUCAUUGUUGUUGUAUCUUGUCUCAGCUCUUGUACUGCAGCGGCAUGGUCCUGGUUCCAUUUUUGUUGCUCUUCCAGGAGUCGUCCAUGUUCUGGAUGUUGAGGAGAGUGUUGUCUGUACGGGUGAAGAAAGCACCGGCCUCUUGAUAGUAGUCAUUCGUGAAAGCGUAGGAGGUGUCAGAGUAUCGUCCUGCAUCAAAUUGGGGCGGAGGUCUGGAUCCUGAAGCUCCAUAUUGAUCAGUGGAGUACCUGCCCGUAUGGAAAGGCGGGUUUGUCCACUGGUGAUCUUGGCUCUCCGGCCAUGUAUCCUCUGUUGGCUCUUGUGG
rnacentral:lncRNA from 1 species